rnacentral:rRNA from 1 species
AGCUUGCUUCUCUUGAGAGCGGCGGACGGGUGAGUAAUGCCUAGGAAUCUGCCUGGUAGUGGGGGAUAACGUUCGGAAACGGACGCUAAUACCGCAUACGUCCUACGGGAGAAAGCAGGGGACCUUCGGGCCUUGCGCUAUCAGAUGAGCCUAGGUCGGAUUAGCUAGUUGGUGGGGUAAUGGCUCACCAAGGCGACGAUCCGUAACUGGUCUGAGAGGAUGAUCAGUCACACUGGAACUGAGACACGGUCCAGACUCCUACGGGAGGCAGCAGUGGGGAAUAUUGGACAAUGGGCGAAAGCCUGAUCCAGCCAUGCCGCGUGUGUGAAGAAGGUCUUCGGAUUGUAAAGCACUUUAAGUUGGGAGGAAGGGCAGUUGCCUAAUACGUAACUGUUUUGACGUUACCGACAGAAUAAGCACCGGCUAACUCUGUGCCAGCAGCCGCGGUAAUACAGAGGGUGCAAGCGUUAAUCGGAAUUACUGGGCGUAAAGCGCGCGUAGGUGGUUUGUUAAGUUGGAUGUGAAAUCCCCGGGCUCAACCUGGGAACUGCAUUCAAAACUGACUGACUAGAGUAUGGUAGAGGGUGGUGGAAUUUCCUGUGUAGCGGUGAAAUGCGUAGAUAUAGGAAGGAACACCAGUGGCGAAGGCGACCACCUGGACUAAUACUGACACUGAGGUGCGAAAGCGUGGGGAGCA